UAGGGAAUCUUCCACAAUGGACGCAAGUCUGAUGGAGCAACGGCCGCGUGAGUGAAGAAGGCUUUCGGGUCGUAAAACUCUGUUAUUGAAGAAGAACGUGUGUGACAGUAACUGGUCAUGCAGUGACGGUAUUCAAUCAGAAAGUCACGGCUAACUACGUGCCAGCAGCCGCGGUAAUACGUAGGUGGCAAGCGUUGUCCGGAUUUAUUGGGCGUAAAGCGAGUGCAGGCGGUCUUUUAAGUCUGAUGUGAAAGCCUUCGGCUUAACCGAAGAAGGGCAUCGGAAACUGGGAGACUUGAGUGCAGAAGAGGAGAGUGGAACUCCAUGUGUAGCGGUGAAAUGCGUAGAUAUAUGGAAGAACACCAGUGGCGAAGGCGGCUCUCUGGUCUGUAACUGACGCUGAGGCUCGAAAGCGUGGGUAGCAAACAGGAUUAGAUACCCUG
rnacentral:rRNA from 1 species